rfam:Salmo salar isolate Sally breed double haploid chromosome ssa03, whole genome shotgun sequence.
AAUGCACCAAUUUGUAAGUCGCUCUGGAUAAGGGCCUCUGCUAAAUGACUUAAA